CCGACUUCUCGCUGAUGCUAUAAAACGGCGUGGAGAACAGAAGAGAAGAGUGAGGGGGGAAAAGAUGCUGCAGAAGAUAGCAGGCACAGAGGAGAUGUAUCACACAUGACUCAUCCGUCACUCAACAGAGUUACAUAAGAGAGCCCGUUUUCAUCGUUUGUUGACAACGCCACACAUCCCUGCCGUCCUCGCGCCGGCUUUGAGGAACCGUGUCAAGCGUUCAGCAGCGUGUCUUGGACGGCUGGCGCCCCUUAGCGGUGAGUUUUUUGGGCAGCGCGAAGAAUAAAUGUGACCUAGCUGAACCGUGAGGACAUUUCGAACAUUGCGUCGUGAAGCUGAAAGGCCGAUGCAUGUUUUAUAAAGCUGCGAUUUAAAAGUGCACGCCGUUUUGCUGUUGCUUUGCGGCGUGCUUUCAGAAACCCAUUUAGAUCG